UAAAGAAAAAAUAUUGUUAGUUAUUAGGUGAGAUUAUUAUUAUGUGUAUCUAAAUAUUAUAGUUUAUAAUGUUGUCAAUUAAAAGUGAAUACCGAAUGCAAUAUAUUAGUGUUUAAGAAAGCUUAAUGAUUUAAAUAUGUUCUUAAGUUAAUCCAAAAAUAAACUAAAAAUUGAUAUUCUCAUACUUAAAGAAACAUUACUUAAAUGGGUGUAAGAUAAAAAGAAAAUUAAAAAUCAAUCUCCAAUUGUUGAUAAUUGAAGAUAGCAUUAGUCUAAAAAUUGUAGAUAAGAAAACUAAUGAUAGUCAUUGGUGGAUUUCAAUCUUCAUUUUCUUCGAUAGAGACAAUAGUGUAAUUUUUGUAUUUUGCACUUUUCAUUCUAGCCGGGUCCGCAUAUAUCUGGAUUAUCCAUUUUUUCUUUGAUAAAUUGAAUAUCGUAGUGUCGACAAAGCGGCGGUGUUCUUGCAAACAGUGAUACAUUUUCAUUUAAGAUGAUUAGACAUGGUGUGCAUAAUUUAUUUAAUUAAAAAAAUCAACUUAUGAAAGGCAUGUAAAACUAUUUUAUUUUUUAAAAACUAUACCUCUGAAGUAUAUUUCAUUAGUUUGGCAGCAGUACCCGAAAAUAUUUUUUUCUACAAUAUUUGUGAACAUGAUAGCAGAUAGGCUCUUUGUAUUGUCAUCAAGUUCAACAUAUGCUAUAGCACUGUAAAAUGCAUAAUAAGAUUAUUAGUAUGUUUUUUAAUUUUAACUUAAUUUCAAUAACAUCAUAAAUUUUUUGUAAUAUACCGUGGUGUAGGAAAUCCUUCUUGGCCGCAUGUUGGCUUGUCACAUAUGAUUUUUUCAUCGCGAUUGUAUAAAUCUAUUUUUUAUGACAUGUGUUAAUUGAAUUUUUAAAUUUUCGCUUUUAAAUAUCAGUAGUUUAAUUAAUGCAAUAAUCUCUCUUGGUUUGAACAAUUAGUUUUGAUCCCAAUAUUAUGGGUCUGUCUUCGAUUACUUCUGCUAAUUGUAAGCAUUCAUCGUGGACUUUAUGUCCCCACAUCGUCAAACAUACUGGUUUGAAGCUACAACUUUGUAAAGAAAUAAAAAAAAUGUAUUAGCAUAAAUUUUAUCAAAUAAUAUUUAAUAUAUCGCAAUAAAAAUGAACACAAGGGUGUAUUUAUAGUGGUAGAUUAAAUGUAUAGUUUACCUUUCAUCAAUUAAGUAUAUCUCUUGAAUUGUAUGUGGUCCAUAGGGAGUGUUGACUUCUUUUGGUGGGUUCAUUUUGAGAGCAAUAGCCAAAAUAUCUAAUAAAUUGAAAUAUUAAAUAGUUAGUCAAUGAGGAAUAUAUAUUUAUGAAAAUCAAAUUGUAAAUACCUAUAGGUUUGCUGAAUUCUUUAGGUGUAUGCAGGUCGCUAAACGGAAUGAAAUCAUAGUUUGGUGCUGAUAUCUGGUUGUCUUCUGUUUGGAUUUCUUCGAUUUCUGUUCUUGAGUUCACUGUCAAAGUAUAUUUGUAGUCUCGCUUUUUAUCGAAAGGCGGGGCUAUUUUUUUGACAUAGGCGUUGCUGAUGUAGUAAGUGUGGUACACUUCCAAAGUAUUUUCUCUAGCGUCAAUUUCAGUGCCAAAUAUUACUGCUUCAACAUCAUUACCUUGUGUUUAUUUUUAAGGAAAAAAAAUAUAUUUAUGAAAUAAUAAUCUGUUGCAGCGCGUUUAUAGUCAGAAUUCGGAAAAUAUAGCAUUUAUUAGUAGAGUAUUGACAAUUUAAACGGUAAAUAAAUUGAUUGUAUAUCUUUUUAUCUGCUAACAUAAGCUUUUAAUAUUUGAGUGGUGAACUCUUACUUGUCCGCUUUCCAGAUUUUUCUAACACUCUCAUUUCAAUCUUCCAACUUUCUGUAGUUGGAGUGAUGUCCUUAAUUGUUGUGUAUAUUGUAACCAUUUAUUCACCUGUUUUCAAAUAAAAUAAUAGAUAGACAAAAUAAAAAAUAUAAUUAAGCUCAUACACAUGAUGAUGAGUGUAUUUCCAUUAAAUAUAUAUUAUAUACACACUUUGUGAACCAUUCAUUCCAACGACUAAUAAAUUAUCCAAUUAUUAGGGAAGCAUAAACAUCAAGUACUUGUGUUGUGCAUGUAUAAGCAUAACUAUAUAUAUACACAACUUUUAUUCAUUAAUUUUAGCAGAAAAAGAAAACUUCAUUCAUAUACUGAUUCAAAAUAGAUACCGAACUCUGUGUUUGGUAUAUAUUAUAAUAUAUACAAUGAAUUAAUUAAUUAAGAAUAUAUAUGUAGAUAUAUAUAUAUAUAGUGCCACCAACUUUUGCUUCAAAGUACGUACGGAAAUCAGUUAUUUGAAAAGCUUUUAAUAAAUAAUGUUAUUAUGGACAAUGUUGUAACACUAUAUGUAUCGUAGAAAUGCUCCAAUAUAUGCACAGAAUAUAUGUUAGUUUUAAUAUACUUGCGGAUUCGGGCGUGGUUGUUUUGCAAGAUUUCGCAAACUUCUGCUGUGUGGAUCAAACAUGUCUUCCGCUUGAUUCGUUGCUAAAUAUACAAGGGACGAGAUAAGUAUUGCAUUUGGGGAUGCCUAUAGUAAUCAGAUUUAUGCAGCUAGAUUAGACGACCCAGCAACAAAAUAUGUUAUGUAUAUUUGUACAGAACUGGUCCAGAUGGAUGGAAGCCCGAGAGUGUGAAGAUCUAUGGCUAUAAUUCAAAGGCUGUUACGUUUUACUACAACACCUUUAUACCAAGUAUAUCCUCAACCUCUUACUCUUCUUUCCUUAUUUGUUAUUAUAGCUAUUUUUUUUCUAUUUUCUGAUGACUUCUAUUAAUUAUAGUAACUUAUUUUUCUAUUUGCAUAUAAAUAACCAGCAAAACUUACCUAUUUGAAUCACA